UGGUUUCUUUUGGUACCAAUUUAAUGCUCAAUGCAGAAAUGCAUUUUAUUAUGCCUUCUGAAAUUUAUUGAGCUCCAAGUCAGACCCAACCUCUGCUAGAUGAAACUGACACAAUAAGACUCAAAAUUUAAACUUACUAAGCUUUUGCAUGCUUUAAGUUUUUAGGGAUGUUAUAUAUGAUAAAGAAUCAAAUAAGAUGUUAUUUCAGAAGCAUGUUUUGCAUGUUUCAUCUGAAAUAUCUUAUUUACAUGUUAAUGAUUUCUGCUCAUGGAAUUUGGCUUUGGAUCUCUAACCUGUAUAUCAUGCAUGAGAUUUCCAGGUUCAGGAAACAAAUUAGGUAUGCUUCACGUAAAGCUAGAACUUAUGACAGGUUUGUAAAAGCUGAUGAAACUUAUGACUACGAUCCUCUUCUAGCCGGAAACACCUGAACCAGUUUCAAGGGCGUUUUUAUUCUUUACAACUUGUAUUCAGAUCAGGAUCGUAUAUAGCAAUGAUGCAUCUUCACUGGACAACCUUCUCAAGGAGGUUAUUCGUUUGGGAGUUACCUCCAGCCAGGAUUAUUUUGGUUCUUCUACUUGCUCGGUUUUCCACCCUAUACCAUUCUUUGAACUCGCUAAGAGUUCCCAUGUGUCUUUACCAUUCUUUGAACUGGUUAGAGUUCCAAUAUCUCUUGUUCCAAAUAGAGACGAUUUUGGAUAAGUUAGAUUAUGGAAUCUGUUCUAAUAAACGCUUAUUAUUAAUCCUUAA